GCAAGUCGAGCGGACAGAUGGGAGCUUGCUCCCUGAUGUUAGCGGCGGACGGGUGAGUAACACGUGGGUAACCUGCCUGUAAGACUGGGAUAACUCCGGGAAACCGGGGCUAAUACCGGAUGGUUGUUUGAACCGCAUGGUUCAGACAUAAAAGGUGGCUUCGGCUACCACUUACAGAUGGACCCGCGGCGCAUUAGCUAGUUGGUGAGGUAACGGCUCACCAAGGCAACGAUGCGUAGCCGACCUGAGAGGGUGAUCGGCCACACUGGGACUGAGACACGGCCCAGACUCCUACGGGAGGCAGCAGUAGGGAAUCUUCCGCAAUGGACGAAAGUCUGACGGAGCAACGCCGCGUGAGUGAUGAAGGUUUUCGGAUCGUAAAGCUCUGUUGUUAGGGAAGAACAAGUGCCGUUCAAAUAGGGCGGCACCUUGACGGUACCUAACCAGAAAGCCACGGCUAACUACGUGCCAGCAGCCGCGGUAAUACGUAGGUGGCAAGCGUUGUCCGGAAUUAUUGGGCGUAAAGGGCUCGCAGGCGGUUUCUUAAGUCUGAUGUGAAAGCCCCCGGCUCAACCGGGGAGGGUCAUUGGAAACUGGGGAACUUGAGUGCAGAAGAGGAGAGUGGAAUUCCACGUGUAGCGGUGAAAUGCGUAGAGAUGUGGAGGAACACCAGUGGCGAAGGCGACUCUCUGGUCUGUAACUGACGCU
rnacentral:rRNA from 1 species